rnacentral:lncRNA from 1 species
GCAAGUGCACAGACUUGAAAGCUGGUCGAAUCUGUUUUGAAAUCUCCAAGGAGAGGGUUUUUCCCCCUUUUUUUCACUCCAAAGCACUAUCUGUGGCGAUCAGACUGAGCAGGGUUGCCAGCAAAUGCAGGAGGCCCCUUCUAGGGUACAGGCUUUCAAACCAGCGAAGCUAGAGGGAAUGGAUUUAAGGACACACAGCAGGAGCUGGCUGGAUUCAUUUUAUUUUGACGGGGGUAGUUGGGGGAGGAAUAUCAUUUCUGAAAUGCCCAAGGAAUGAAGGGAGAGGAUAUGGAUUUCUUAAACAGUUUUUUGCAAGAGGAGCGGUGUCUUGUUCUGCAGAUGGAAACACCAAAGCACAGAGUCAAGCGACUAAGUUCAUUCGCCUGGAAAAGAACUGCGCGUUUCCAGAGCUCUCACUCAUGGUCACCAUACUGCACUGCCUUUUCAUGAAGGGUGUAAAUACACGCCAUGAUUUGACUCCCAGCAUGACAAAACCAGACUUUUCCUGUUACAGCUCCCAUUUCCACAGGGGCAUCAACUUUGCUAAAUGGGGGUGGUUGCUGAGUUCCAAGAAGGAGCAUUCCAUGAAAGGUGAAAGCAGAAGCUGUAUAUUUCUGAAGACUUGGACUCAAAAGUUACAUAGCAUCACCUCUGCUACAUUAUAUUGGCGAAGUCCAAGAGGAAGGAAAAUAAACUUUGCUUCUUAAUGGGAAGAAUGGAAAAAAUAAAAGGAAAAUAAAAG